GGGGAUGAAUUGAUUCGACGGAGAAAGUUCUUUUAAAACUGCAAGCCGACGAUGACACAUGUCGUAAAACGAGGUCAAAAAACAAAUGCUAAACUUAGCAUAAAGGAACUUAGAGCGGAAAGAGACGCAAUUCUCGCCGAGCUAGGUUUGGGACAGCGAGCAUACGCACUAGCUGCGUAAGCUUUAAAGCCUGUUUAUAUAAGUCUUUCCUCAUUGGGACUGUAUAGGCACAAAAACAGAUGGGGAAAAUUGUAAAAUGACUAGCGGUGCUUUUACUCUUACAAGCCGCGUAUACUUUGUUAUUCCAGCCGACAGGAAACGGCAAAGUGAAUUCUAAUAAUCGGCUACGCUUGUAGAUGUUUUAACUAAUUUUAUUCGGACUCCGGUUCACUGCCGGACAUCUCCACAC
rnacentral:tmRNA from 1 species